GCAGGGUAGAGAGGGGCUGGGACAGCAGCUAGGACUUCAGGCUUGGAGUAGGCAGUUAUGGGAUAAGUUGCCUGGCCUGGCCCUGGUCUUCAAGGUUGAUGCGGGCUUUGGUGAGAACACAUGAGGGCAAGGGCAGAGUUGGGGGCUGUCACAGCCGUGGGGGCCCAACACAUGGGCAGGCAGCCCCUGCGAGGUGGAAAGAAUCAUCAGAUGCUGAACCUGGCUUGAGGAAGGGCCCCCUGGACUCAUAGGUUUUGGUUGGUGAGUGCAGGAGUGGAGGCAGGGCUAGGUGCAGGUUGGGACCCGAGCGACUUAUUAGUAAGAAAUGUGCACGUGGUCUCCUGAGUGCUGAGUACAAUCAAAACCCAGAAGAACUGGCUUUGGAGAGCAUCCAGGUUGGUGACCACCUGAAGAAGUGGGGACAGUGGCGCACCCAGGGCAUGGAAGUCCUUUCCUUAGACUCUGCUUUGUGUGUCUCUUCUAUCUGGUUGUUGUUUUGUAUUCUUUAACAUCCGUUGUAAAAAUCCAGUGCGUAAUCUGGCCUCCUGAAUUCUGUGAGGUGGGUAGACAGUGUCAAAACUCAGUUGAAUUGUGGGACACCCAGCUGCUGUCAGAGAAUUGCUUGGGUGUACGGGGAAAAAAUAUGGGUGCAGAAUGGUAGAGGGCAUGGCCAUUGGCUGAGAUUGGACCAUGAGGGAGGCAAGGUUGUGGAGGAUGAGAGCUCAGACCCUGUCCUGUUGGAUUUUUGAUGUCCCUGAGAUUCCAGGUGGCGAUGGAGCCCAGGUGAGUCUGGAAUUGAAGAGAGUGUUUGGGGCUGGAGAUGUGGGAAGCGCUGGGGCAUGGCCGCCCAGCGCCAAAUCUGGCCUUGAACCCAGGCUUGCCUCCUGCACAGGGCCCGCUUUCCGCUUCCUUGGGACAAAGCUCUUGGCAGUGCUACAGGUUGUUAGCUGGAGUGGUCUGCCUGUGUGUUGGGUCCCCCACCCCUCUCCCCCUAGCAUGGUAGCCCAGUUCUUUCCUCCCCCACAACCCCCCAGCAGCCGGUGUGCCAGUCUCCACUGGCAGCACCCUCCCCACAGGCCUCACGCUCUGUGCUGCUCUGUCCAGAGGAGGCUUUCUGCCUUCCUCGUCUUCAUUCCCUGGGGAAACUCGAACAUUGCUGGCCCUCGCUCUUGGUGGACACCUUCUUUCCUGUGCCCCACCUGCUUUUCCAGCUCACAGUCUUUGGGUCCUUGUGAAAGUCCUCUUUCUCUGUCUGUCAGUUACUCUCUCAGCGGAGGUUCAUGGAGAACCACUGUGUGCCGUGCCCCAUGGGAGCCCAUGGGUGCCAGGGGACAGACUGGGCCAUCUCUGUUCUCAGAGGCUACAAACCGAUUUGUACUGAAAAGAUGAGGUGCUACAGGGGGACUAAUGGGGCUUUUCCCUUCAUCUGUGUCUUGGCCUCUGGCCCAGAAUCAUCGCAGAGUUCUAGGAGCUUGGGGGCCAGUUGUCAACGCCCAACCUGGGCACGUUAGACCCAAAAAGAGCUGGCUCUUUGGGCCCCGGCCAAGACUUCCUCAGCGUGCUCUCCUCCACCAUCCCCAAGAAGGAGGAACCCUGUUCGGGGGCCCAGCGCAGAGCUCCCAGGCUAACUUUUCCUGCUUUCUUGUGCCCACACCCGCAAGACGGCCCUUAUAGGUUCACCUGCUCAACAUGGAGCUGCCACCACCAUGGGGCGGGCGGCUGGUGCUGCCUGCCUCUCCCCGGCCCCUCCGGCCUUGCCCACACACACAUUCACUCACACGUCGUAAACACGGGGCCGGGGGUUGGCCCUCACCCCGUGCCCUCAGGGGUGCUAUUUGUCCAGGAGACGGUGUGAGCCCUUUUGCCUGGCCUGUGGGGCUUCUCUCUGGCAGCACCCUCAUCUCUGCACCCUUGGUCACUGUGGGUUCCUGCCUUUCCCUGCUGAUGAGGUCUGUCACCCAGGGUCCCAUACGCCUGUACUGUUGUCCCUGCUCCUCACAAUGCCCUCCCUAGUCCUACCCUCUCAGUCAGGGUUGCUGACCUUGGCGGUGGAGCUGUUUUGGGCCAUCCUGUGUACUGCAGUUUGUUUGACCAUGUCUGGGUCUCUGCCAACCAGGUGUCAGUGGUCGUCCCAAGUCCUGAUGGUCUCAAAUGUCUCCAGACAUUACCAGGGUCCCCUGAGGGUCUCAGUCGCCCCUGUUGCUCUCAGUGAGGCCACCCUGCGUGCCACUGCUUGGCCCUCAGCCUUCUUAACUAGAGCGCUGAGAGCGCUGAUGUGGUGCAUGCAUUGCCCCCAUGUGCCCAGCCCAGGCACUGUGCGCUGCACGGAUAGCAGAGUGUUGGCCUCACUGCGGGCUCGCACCCAGCACCACCUCACAAUGGGCCUGUAGACAGUGCUGGCUGGUUCCUGAACUGGGCUCUUUCCCAGCUUUCUGCCGUGGCCCCUGGUGGGGGAGGGCCGUCCCCUCUGUGACGUCUGCAUGGGCCUGACUGUGAAGAAGGGGGACUUCGGGGUUUCCCUGUCCUGGGCCCCACCGUGGGGGUGGUGGGGGCCUGUGUGUGGCAGCUCCUGGGACGCCCUCUGUGUUAGGACACAGGCAAGCAAGCCCGUGUUAGCACAGCGCAGCCUGGAGCUCUCCCCUGUUGUUUGAAAGAGAAAUUGUUUACAUGCUUUGGUGUCGAAGGCAAACUGCUUGUCAUGGACACCAGAACUGACUGAAGCACUUUGAGAUGCCCUGGUGAACCAGGUGGGUUUGUAGACAGAGUGACCAUAUAGUUAAUUUUCCAUGUGGGGACUCUUGGGAAAGUGAAGGGGGGUCACUGAUAACCCUGUCAGGACCACACGUGCAGGCGGGGCGGGCCCGGCAUGUGGGUUCUUCGGCAUCGAAGGAGUGCCUCUGAGUGAGGUCGUGCUCUUCCAAACCCCCGGCCCCAGCCUGCUCUGCCCCUGCCCGCCCCGGCACUCCCACUCACGCCCAGGCCUGAGACCUGCUGCCCUUCAAGAGCCAGUGUACAGCCCCCAGGACACUGCCGCCCUUGCCGCCCCCCACAGCCGAGCCCCAGACCCCCUCUCUGAGGUCCAUUGCUGGGCUCUGCGGUCCCUCACGUGUGCUCACAGAGGAAAUGUAUUUAGUGGGUGGAGACAUAUCACGGUUGGUCUUCCAGACAAGACUGCAGCCAAAGCCCCAGCUGGGCCCUGCUGGUGUGUGCUGGUCCCACAUCUGUAGCACCACUGCCUGCCUGCCCUGUGGCCCUGGGCUUUCCUAGCUGUAGCCCUGGAGUCCCUCCAUCCUGACUGGUUACCCUAGGGAGUGACAAGGGAGAGGAGACUUCUCCCAGAGGGUGAGAAUGAGAGCAGGCGGCUUUUCCUCUCACUGCCUGGUGGGGGUGGAGGGUUCCUUGGCAGAGUGACCUUUAUCCUUCCAAGUCCCUGGACUGGUGGUGCCAGCUCAUGGCUGUGGGCUGCAGAGGGAGCCAGGGCAGCAGGAUGGCAGGUGGCGCUGUGGGCAAGGCGAGGGACUCCUGGGCUCCACACGCAGGCUCAAGGAGGUGCCCGUGAGAGCGGGGCAGAAGGGUGUGCUCCGCAGCCUGCCCUGCCCCUUGCCGCUCUCUGCCCUGCCUGACUCCUCUAGUGUGCACUAGCCAUGCAGCCUCAGCUUCUGCUUUCAGAGCCUCAGCCAACAGUCUGUUGGCUCAUUUUGGGGUGUCCUGGGGGAUCCCCACAGGUGCUAGGAAACUGGCCCUGCAAAUGCUUCAGGCUGGAACAAGGGAGCUGGCCUGCUACUGGGAGGGGCCAGGUCUGUGUCCUCUGUCCACGCUGCCCUCCGGGCCUGUGUUUCUCCAGCCAUGGGUAAGGACAUCAGCUGAGACCCUGUCUGGCUUGGAAAUGCUGGGACCCACUCACUCUGCCAAUCCCACUCUGGGGCAACCCUGUGCUGGGCCCAGGGUUCCGAGUGUAUCACCUGCCCUCCUUGAACUGUGAUCUGAUGAAAGUAUGAGCAUGUUAGUGUGGGGGGUGUGUGUGUGUGUGUAAGUAUGAGUAUGGGCAGGCACGUGUGAGUGUGCGUGUGUGACUCCCUCAGACACACAGGGGACCUGCCAUGGGGACGUGGACCAGACUGUCUUGAGACCCUUGCUCUUAUCUGGCUCAGAAACCUGGCUCCCAGGGCCCAGCCACAUACCCACCGGGCUCCAAGCGGCUGUAUCAGGACAAGUCUCCCUCAGCCAGGUGAGUCUGGUGUUUGUAGAAAUGCUGAGCUGGGCAAUGGGCAUAAUCUGUAAGCAUUUUCUCUCAGCAGAGCUGGCUGGCAGGUCCUUGGUUCUGAGAGCACAGGACUCUUUUAGUGGCUGGCCACUUGUCCCUCCCGACUAUGUCACCUAGGCCACUGCAACCCCCUGGGUCUCCUCCAGCCCCCAGCCCCUGCCCGGCUGUGUUCAGCUGGGUACCUGUAGAACUAAUGGUGUCACUGGCCUUGGCUCCAUGGCUGUGGAGUCUGCUCCUUGUUACCAGUGACCCAUGCUUCCUCCUCUAGCCUUGAUAUUGGCUCAAGUGCAAGAUGUUCUUUGGCAUCUGUGUGAUGUUCUUUUCUGAGCCAGGGUAUAGACUAGAGUUUGGGCCAGAAGCAGCCUUGCCUGCCUGCCCUGGCCCUAUGGCCUGUCCAUCUCUGAAUGGAGAGCCUUACCGGACAGCAGCAUCUCCUCGCGGGGCUGCUGUGAGUGGCUUGCCAGGGGAGACUUGUGCCAUUGGCCAGGAUGAACUUUAGAAUCUCAGUGUUCCAGCACCAUGCUGAUAAUGUGUCUGUGGCACUUUGGGUCAGCAGCUCCUGGUCUCUGCUGGGAUCACUCGGAGUGACACAGUUACGGACAAAAGGGAAGGAAGCAAGAGGAGGCUCUCCCCGUUCAAGCCUGGGCCCUGGGUGCACCCUGGCAGAGUGGGUCUCUUCCAUGAGCUCACCCUUCCUUCAGUUUUCGGUAUUCUAGAGGUGGGCUUUAAGCUUCCUCAGGAAGCCCGUGCUGUGUGGGUGGGUCCAAGCACAUCUCCCUCGGGGGCUGGGUUUUGGUCCUGGCCUCUGCAGCGCCGUGUGUGCGUGUGUGUGUGUGUGUGUGUGUGUGUGUGUGUGGCAUCCAGGUGGUUGGGGCCCCGCGGAUCCUGCUCCUGGAUGUGUGGUUUGGUGUCGGUAGUCUGGGAUUUUUCCCAAGCAGGGCAGGGGGGCAGGUUUGGGUUACCCCACCUUUUCCUGGGUAUUCCUAGCAGGCGGGGCCCUUCUACUUAGACGUCCUUGUAGAUCCUGUGGCCUCCAGGUGAAGCGAAUGCUUGGGAGGCCUUUCGUGGACCCACCUACCCACCUCCACAGGGCACAUCUCCUGCAACCUCCCACCCUACUUCCCACCCUCUUGCUCUGCAGAUGCCAGCCUUCCUCUGACCCCUGCCCUUGUGCAGUCUGCCCCCUCUUUCUGGAAGGGCCUCUGCACUCUCUGCCUGGCUGCCUCCUGUUCCCUGCACAGGCCUUUGCUGGUCCUCUAGCUGGCCUUCCCUGAGCAGGCGUAGCUGAGCUGAGACCAGCCAGAGUUGGGAGGUGUGUUGCAAAGGUGUCCCUCCUCACUGGUGGGUGAGUCCUGGGGGACCAGGUAAGAUGGUGCCUUCCUAUCUCCAUCUGUGAGGGGUUGUAGGUCCUCCAUCAGCCCCAUGAGUGAAUAAACGAGGUGCCUCUGGGAGCUUCAGCAGCCUGGGAGCGAGCCUGGUGGGGCUGCUGUCUUCGCCCUUCCCCGGGUCUUCUUUUGGGUCCAGGUGUUGAUCCGUGGGGAAUAUCCGAGGCUAGGGUAUUCAUCUCAUUUCACUGCUGACUUGCUCUGUGACCUGGCAAGUCCUUUCACUUCCCUGUCCCUCCAUUGCUUUGUCCUAGGUCUGGAGGAGCAGCCUUUGCCCCUCUUUCCUCAUGACAUGGCAGCGAGAUUGUUGGGGAGGGAAUGAGUGUGAGGGGCUCUGGAAGUCUGAGGUGCCCAGCACCAUGUCUGGCUCUAAGGAGAGGCACCUGUGGGGGCCGUCCGGCGCAGCAUAUGCCCAGGAAGCUCUCGUGUCACCGGAAACUCCCCAGCUUUGUGCCCAGCUGUGGACCAAGUGCUUUCACUCCUCCCAGAAUCUCACCCCCAGCAAAUGUCUACAGCCUUAGCAACUAUCUUGGAGUGUAUUUCUGCAGCGGCCGGCCCCUUCCUCAAAGCCAGCGGUCGGGAGUCAGCCUGGACGAGCCUGGGAGACUCAGGAGAUGGAGCGGAUGUGUGCGGCUGCCUGGCGCCCUGGGCCCUGUGCUGCCCGGUGCUGUCGGGCCCUCCAGUGUCCUGGGUACUGCUGCCGGGCCGUGGGGUUCUGGGUUGCCAGUGGCCCAAGAGGCAGUUCCAUUCCUGCCACCUUUGUCCCCAUUCCUCACUGUGGGGCUCAGCCAGGUUCUGGAGACCCUGGGUGACAUUUGUUGCAUUUCCGGGAAGGCUCCAGCACUCGUGUGGGUGCCCGUCCUACAGUGACAAAUCUAGGAGUUGACACAGAAGAGGGCAUAGUGGUGUAGGCCUGGGGGCCUGGCCUCCCGGGCGUUUGGGGCUCAGGGAGCAUGGCUGGGGGUGCCAAGGUGUAUGCUGCACAGGGGCCGGGGAUUGGGAAGAGGGACUAGACCCAGCCAACGGGGCCUGUGCAGAGGCAGAUGGAGAAUCAGGCUGCCUGAUGGAAAAGGGAAAUUCGGAGAGGGUGGGAGGCUGAGCCUGCAAAAGUUUCUCAGCCAUGGUUUCCAGACUCAAGUGCCCACCAUCUGGGACUCUGGCCUAGCCUCAGAGGCCAGGCUUUGUGCACCAGGACACGGCCAUGCCUGUGUGCAGGUGGGCAUCUGCCAGCCAACACCCAUGUGCCCCUUUUUGCUUCAUCCCACCAGCCCGUCCUGAAAAUGCUCUGAGAUGAGCCCGCUUGUGCCGCUGGGCAGACAGCCCCUGUGGGGCGCAGACCAGUGACAGCCUCCCUGCCACUGUGUGUGGCCACCAGACUGACCCUAGGGAGCCACCAAGGGUACACACAGCAGGUGCACCCAGGUCCAGCCUCCCAAGUUACUGGCUGAGUUCCUAAGAUCCUUGGAAUUUCCUAAGUGAUAAGAGGGAUCAAACUGUCUCUUCUUCUGUUAAUGAAGUGACUCCGGACAGCCCCUAGGUCUCCUCAGUGGGGAGCUGUGUGCCAGUCAGAGGGCUGGAACUUUUUGUGCCAUCUGGGACCUCCAGAACAUUGGGCAGAGGGGCUGAAGGACCUGCAGAGGUCAGCCCUGGAUUGUUCAGCAGUAGCAGCAGCGGCUGAGGACCAGAGAGGUUGCUUGACCUGCUGAGGUCACACAGCUAAGAGUGCCUAGGUGGGCCUGGCAGCUGACACAUUCACUCCUGUGCAUUGUCCACCCUCCGGCCCACCCCCUGGAAGGCUUGCCUGGUGCAAACAUAGCCCUAAACGGCAGCAUGGCUUGGCGCGGAUGGGGCAGAAUGUGGGGGUCUGCCAGCAGAAGAGGCCCUUGGAGCACCUAUUGGGAUCCCGCCUUGUGGUCCCCUCCCCUGGACUGUAGUGUGCUGGUGUGCACCCUGCACUGACUUCCUGAUGGCCUGGCUUCCUGGUCAGUGUUUGCCCUCCCUUGUCAACAUUAUGGCUGCACAUGGACUUCCUGUGGGCAGGGCCUCACGUGGGCCUGCCACAGGGGGCAGCCAUCCAGAAGAGAUACUGCUCUUCUGCGUCCAGAAGGGUGGAUGCAGGUGUCUUCAGGCCUGUCCUUGUCCUGCUCAGUCCCAGGAGCUCUGUGUAAUCAUGCUGCCCUGCCCACUCAGGCCUCCCCCACCUUCCCCACAGCCAGUCCUCCCUGCCCAUCUCACUGGGCCAGGGGAGGGGGCAUGGGCCUCUGAGUAGGCCAGCUGUCCUGUCCAUGGUGCCCCCUCGACGAGGGCCCUGGGGACGGUACAGACUUCUCCGAGCCUCCGCUUUCUUGUCUGUAAUGUUAGCUCAGCAUCGGGGCCUCCUUGGAGAACGUCAGGGGCAGAACAGUGCCGGAGCUGGUACAGCACUUCUCAUGCCCGUUCUUUCUCUCUUCUCGCUCCUGGCACUCACUGUCAGCUCUCUGUGGCUGUUCCUGUGGCCGAUCUGCCUGGGUCUUUUGUUGUGGAACUGUCCUGUGGCUUUAGUCCUUCACAGUGGGCUCAGGCAGGGCAGCAGGCCUUAGCGCCCAGCUUGGGAUCCGGUCACCUGAGUCUGAGCUGUGGCAAGCCGCUGACCAUGCCGCCUCAGGCAAGGUCCCCACCUGGGCUCCAGGCUUCAGUCUCCUCCUCUGUGAGAUGAGUUCGCUGAGGCAUCCGUCCCAGGGUUGUGGUGACAUUAGUGAAUGACAUGCAGGGCUGUGCCAGGUGCUGAGUCUCAGCUGGAGAAGUGUGAGCCCUUGACUGCCAGCUCCUGCCUGGACCCAUGGUGACUAGGCUGUCCGCUCGUCUUGCUGUUUGUGUGAUCUGACCUUGUGGUCAGAGGAAGGGGCAGGGGAGGUGGUAGAGAAAGGAAAGAGACAGGAGAGGGUGUGCACGUCUUCUAGCCUUCACUGGUCACACUGCACAUUGGCCACUGGGUCCCUGGCAUGUGCUAGGCCAGACCCAGGAUUCAUGGCUCAGGGGAAGGGCCAGCUGGUUACAGGGAAGUUCCAGGACGGUUGGGGACAGUGGUGGGAGUUGAAGUUAGAAGAGUGGUUUUGUGGAUCUUCUGAGGAGUUGGUACCUGCUGCUGGGGGUGGCGGGAGGCCAGUGAGGGGCCUCAGGGUCCUUGUGAGAAUCCAGCAACUUGGCCUGCUCAGGGUUCAGAGCUGCGCCCAUUAGUGCUCAGGCAGACGUGUGCUGUGGCCACUCUGGGGCCCCCUCCCAGACAGCAGAGAGGCCGUGAGCACUCUGCAAGUGUUGGUUGAAUAAAUGACUGAAUAGAUAUCAUCCCCCUCCUUUCACUUCUGUGCUAAGAGUUCUUUUUUAAAAAAAUCUGCUGAAAUCACACUGAUUGAUACUGAUGAAAACUGCCAUGGAAAGGCUCCAUUGCUGGUCCCCGCACCCCUGCCAGCAGGGCACUGUGCCCACCAGGCUGGGUCCCAAGCAGUAGCAGGUGUUUACAUCUCUCAGCCUCUUUAUUGACUGUCACGCAUGUCACCUGUCUACUGAAGGACAAAGGCCCUGGUCUCACCGUGGUUGAUGGCAGAGGUAAAGGAGUCCAGAUCUCCUCAUGCUGUCUCCCUAUAUUGAAAGCCAAGUACCUGUGCACAAGCUACUUCUGCAGGAGAAACGGACAAGAGAUGUCGGAGGCACCUCUUGCCUUGCAGGAUCCUGCCCCAGGGCCUCCUGGCUUGGCCUCAGCCUGCCUCCUGGGGUACAGGUCAAGUGUCCCCUCCCACAGAAGAUUCUGGCUCUCCAGCCUGGAGCAGCCCUAGCCUUUGCAGGGUGUGUGUUGGGCAGCAGGAGAGAGAAAAAUCAACUCUCAAAUGCAGCCCAUCAGCCGCUGUGGCUGGAAGAUGGCAUUUUUCAAGACAGGCUAAGGAAAAUAUAAAAGGAUCCAUGUGAGAAGUUUCUAGAUUUCGCUAGACUUCCCAAGUAGAGGCACAGAGCUGGAUGGAGCCAUGAGCCUCGUUUCGCUGAGUUGCUGGCUGUGAAGGGUGCUGUGGAGGGUUCUGGAGGUGGUUCUUCCUGGAGGAUGCCAACGUGAUGAGAGGGAGGGUGGGGCGAGGGCUUUCCUGGGCCUGAGCAUCUGUGGGCUUAAAGGAUGCAGAAUUAGGGGCGUUCUGAGGGUGAGGCAGCCAGGAGCACGAUUUCGGGCGUCAUCUCUGACACAGAACCUGGGUGGCAGUCGGAAAAGAUGAUUCUGGGGUGUGGCGUACCAUUGCUUCUGCUCAGUCUCAGAUCUGCACACUGCCUCCCUGGGAAAGAAGGGUGAGUGCAAGUGGAGGGCGGAAGGUCAGAGCAUGUGUGCAGCUAAGCCCCGGACGACGCUUUGAGCUCAGACAGCAGCCUGGGGGCUUCCCCCACCAACUACAGGUGGUAGGCAGAAGAGAAUUUCAGGGUGUCCUUCUCUGGAGGGGCUGUUGUCACCCUGACCCCUUGCUGUCUGGCUCUAGAUCUGACCUGUGGCUUGUAUGGAGGAUGGCCACUGGGAACCCUGAGAGCUCAAUCCCCAGAGCACAGUGUGGGAACCUCACAGCCUUGCUAACCCUCAGCCCACCAGUUGUCCUCAUACCCGAAUAGAAACCUGCAGUUUCUAAAGACUGGUUUCUGGAGGUGGUGAGUGCAGGGCUGGGCCCUGCGGCCUCCCAGGCCCACAGAGGAACAGGCGGUCCUCAGCCAGGCUGGCAGGAGCAGCCUGUUCAGAAGACACUGUUCCCUGGGCGUGGGUUUGACACCUUCCACCAUCUGGGCUGAGACACCUCCUCCCUGGGAGCUUGGAAAGUCAGGUGUGAGAUCCAAUGUCUUAAUUUUACGCUUUUAAAUACUUAUUUAUUUAUAUUUUAUAGAUUUAGAUACUAGGGACAGAUUGCAGGUUUUCCUUUUUUAAAAGUUUUUAAACUUGCAGUUUAUAUUCAAUAUGAUUUUGUUAGUUUCAAGUGUACAACACAGCUGUUGGACAGCCAUGUACUUCAUAAGGUAUUUUUCUUGGUAUUUCUGGUACACACCUUGGCCUGGUUUUAGACUUUGGAUCUCUGUAUGGAGACAGCAGCAGGAUCGUUAGGAAGAAACAAGAGCAGUAGCAGCCUGACCCGGACCGCUCGUGAGUGGUAAACCAGGCCCGCCUCCGUGGGCGAGGGACACGUCCAGGGAAGGCGCUGUGGCCGCCCCCCGUGCCUGCCUGGAGUGUGCCCUCACUGAGCUGCUCAGUUUUCCCAGGCGUGAGGGCCAUGCCUCCCUUGCAGGUGGUGGCUUCUGCCCUGAGGGACAGAACGCUAGGCACAUGUGAGAGUAACUGGGUAGAUGAGAUGACUGUUGUCCAGACCUUUUGGGGGAGACCCAGAAGUUUCUCACCAGUGAACUUUCCAGUUUUCAGUGAAACUUAAAUGCCCUGAGUUAUUUUUUUUCUCAUCUUUUAAGUCCCGCACAUGUUCUUCCUAACGUCACACAUAGGCGGCCUUGCCCCCAGCAGCACAGACAUGGGCCCAGGCGCCUCUCAGACUGCUGCAGAGCGGGCCCACGUCCCUGCCUGUGUGGCCCCGGUUGCUGCACUUCUCUGGACCCUACACUUGUUCCAGUAUUUCCGGCUCCUUGUCAGCUGUCAUCUCUGCCCAUAGUGCACCUGUCUUGCUCCCUCCUGGUCUGCCCCCACCACAGUCAGGUGUGUUGGCCUGAGACACCCCGGCCCUGGAGUGGAGACCCCUGAAGUGCUGCACCACCUCCCUCACCAUGAAGGUCAGUGAUCAGUCCCAGUGGCUGCCUCAGGUCCCUGCCUUCCUAAUGCAGCCACCUGCCCCUCACGCCUGGGCACAGGGUUGUGUUCUUUGUAGUGUCUCUGUAGUGUGUAUGCUUACAAUCACAAAUGUGAAAGUAGAUAAUACAUGUGCAUAAUAGAAAUUCAAACAGGACCAAAGGCAUCUAGUGAAAAUUUGUCCCUGGCCCCCUUCUCCUGCGCCCCCUUGCCAGUUUUCCAUGACCCUCCCAAGAUGUUCUUUGGGCACAGGUGCCUCUGUGCACUUCGACCCUCUCUUCUGCCACAUGGCAGCCUCUCCACAGCCCGCAUCUUCCCCUUCAUAAAAGUAGAGGAUGCUGAUCUUAGAACAACCGUGGACACUAACCAUUGUGUUUCCUGAUUGCCAGGCCCUGUUCUAGUUAACCCUGUAAGUGGUUCUUAGCGAGUUUCAGAGAUUGGUCACUUUCCCAUCUGUGGAUGUAUGCGUUCUUUUCAGUCGCUACUUGGUGUUCUGACGCAUGGCUGUGAUUUAUUCACCAUUCUCUCGUGGAUAGACAUUUACUUUAGUUCAGGCUUUUAAAGUGAACAUCCUUACACUGCAUGUGUGUACACGGGCAAUAUGCCUGGGGUCUGCUUCUGGGCUGGAGUGGCAGGGUGUGACUGUGACCAAGACUGUCAGGGAGGCCUAGCACCCUGUGUACUAAAUUGGACUGCCUGGUGUGGCUUGUGCAUGUGACUUUUGACCCCCUGAGCCCUGUCCCAGCCUUGCAUCUGCAAAGGCACGAGGUGCCCAGCCUGGUCGGGGCCGCAGGCAAGCCAUGCAAGCUCAUCCGCAGAGACGGCCCUGUGGCAGGCAGAGACCGUGCUGUUCUGUUUUGUCCCUUCCUUGGGUGGCAGAGCACCAUCAGUGUCCCUGUCCUCAGAGGUCAUGAGGAAUGUUCCAGUGGGUUGAAGGAUUAGCACUGAACAUGGUAUUUGGAGCCCAGACUGUACCCAGCUAGGAGAGUCCUCACACCUAGCUCUCUGGCUCCUUGGCGGGUGGGACUAGUUUCAGGUACAGUUGCACCACUCUGUGAAGGGGAUUGAGUUUCAGUCAGGACGCUGACUUCUAUGUUCCUCCCUACUGCUGGGCAAAUGACCCCCCUUCCUGUCCUUGCUCUGCCCUCAGCAUGGUGUGGGUCUGAGGGGACCAGGUGGGUCUGAGGGGACUGAAUGGCUAUAGGAGGGUGUGCCUUCCUCCUGUCUGCUGGGCUCCAAAGCUGACGAGUCCUCAGACCCAGCAGAAAAGCACUGCUUCUGCCCACAGAAGGGGUGAGCUCUCUCAGCUGCAGUUGUAACUAAUGGGCCGCAGGUCCGGUGGCUCCAGCCUUAGUUGGGUUGGCCACAGGCUUGAAGACUCCCUGGGCAUCUGUGCAGCUUUCCUGGAAAUUUAGUAUUCCAAAAUAAAAGUUUAUUUCUGAAUGGCCUUGGCCACUUGUCACUGGAGAGGGUCUGUCCCAGUGCCUGGCCAGCGAGAGGGACCACUGGCCAGCGUCCCUCUCAUCUCUUCAACUACAUUGUGACAACGAGACACAGCCCAUCUCCCUUAUCACCUCUCAGGGCUGCACACAUUCAGUGGCUCAUUCCUUCAUUCCUUUUCAGAACAAACACUACUCUUGCCUGCUUCCAAACUUUCGCUCAAAAUGUUCUCUCUUGUAAUAAUGAAGUUGUGCUGAGGUAGGAAGUGUAUUCUUAGUUCUAGAAAUGCUACCAUUCAGCAAAUAAGGCAAGAUGUUCUGGAAACUAUUUGACAGUGUGGGAGGUUCAUUCUCUGCUUUUCUGUAUGCUUGAAACCUAUCCAUUAAAAAAAAGUUCCCUCUGCCUGAGAAACCUGUUCCUCUCCUGCUAGUUUCUUCCUGCAAAAGCCUGCCUCCUUCAGGGGCCUGGGCCUCAAGGCUGCUCUGCCCUGUCCCCUCUCUCAGCCUCUCAGCUCCUUGCUUGGGCCUGGAUCAUGGCAAGGUGUCUUCUGAGCCAAAGUGGGAGCAUUUUCUGCUCCUGCCUUCCCUCCUCAAGCAGCCUAUGAACAGCCCAGAAGAGGGCGCCACACCUGGUUCCUCUGCACCUCCCAGGGGUCCUGCACUCAGGCACACAGGCCAAAUCACCAACAUGCUAAUGAUAAGUAAGCAUGUCCAGUGUCACUUCUGCAUGGGCAGCGGCCCAAGCAGAACCACAGGGGAAGAAAGAAAAUAACAGCAUCAGGGCGAAUAGCAUGUGCCACAGCCAAGCCGUGAGCCAGGACCUGCUAUACACCACUGCCACCUGUGUGGCCAACCCAUACAGGGUCCACUGUGUUCCCUUGGCCACAAGCCAGGUCACCCCUCAGCCCUCCCCCUGGCAUGGAAGACUCCCCAGCAGGCCCAGCUGGCCCCACAGCCCUGAAUACACCACAUUCUGGGCUCCUUCAAGGAGGCGGCUGGGCUUCCCUAGGACGUCUGCAGCAGCAGGCUUCAAGCUGGUGCUGGCCUCAUGUGGCCAGGCUAGGGGGUGGUGGGCUUGCUAAGAUUUAUUUUAUUUUUUAAAUAUAUUUUAUCGAUUAUGCCAUUACAGUUGUCCCAUUUCACCCCCUUCAUUCCCCUCCACCCUGCACACCCCUCCCCCAUCAUUCCCCCCCUUUCAUUUAUGUCCAUGUGUCACAAGUUCUUUAGACUCGAUAUUUCCCAUACUAUUCUUGCCCUCCCCCCUGUCUAUUUCUAUCUACGGUCUAUGCUACUUAUUUUCUGUACCUUCUCCCCCCUUCUCCUUCUCCCACUCCCCUGUUGCUAACUCUCCAUGAGAUCUUCAUUUCUAUGGUUUCUGCUCCUGAUAUAGCUGUCCUCUUAGUUUGCUUUUAUUUUAGGUGUGGUUGUUAGUAACUGUGAGUUUGCUGUCCUUUCACUGUUCAUCUUUUUUAUCUUCUUUUUCUUAGAUAAGUCCCUUUAACAUUUCAUACAAUAAGGGCUUGGUGAUGAAGAACUCCUCAAAUUUGACCUUAUCUGAGAAGCACUUUACUUGUCCUUCCAUUCUAAAUGAAAGCUUUGCUGGAGAGAGCAAUCUUGGAUGUAGGUCCUUGCCUCUCAUGACUCAGAAUACUUAUUUCCAGCCCCUUCUUGCCUGUAAGGUCUCUUUUGAGAAAUCUGCUGACAGUCUGAUGGGAACUCCUUUGUAGGUGACUGUCCCCUUAUCUCUUGCUGCUUCUAGAGUUCUCUCCUUCAUUUUCAUCUUGGCUAAUGUAAUGAUGAUGUGCCUUGGUGUGUUCCUUCUUGGGUCCACCUUCUUUGGGGCUCUCUGAGCUUCCUCGACUUCCUGGAAGUCUAUUUCCUUUGCCAGAUUGGGGAAGUUCUCCUUUAUUAUUCGUUCAGAUAAGUUUCCCACUUGUUGCUGUUUCUCUUCCCCUGCUGGUACCCCUAUAAUUCAAAUGUUGGAACGUUUAAAGAUGUCCUGGAGGUUCCUAAGACUCUCUUCCUUUUUUUGAAUUCUUGUUUCUUCCUUCUUUUCUGUUUGGUUGUUCCUUUCUUCCUUCUAGUCCACUCCGUUGAUUUGAGUCCCAGUUUUCUUUCCAUCACUAUUGGCUUCCUAUGUAUUUCCCUUCAUUUCACUUAGUUUAGCCUUCAUAUGUUCCUCUAAUUUGUGACUAAUAUCAACCAGUUCUGUGAGCAUCCUGAUCACCAGUGUUUUAAACUAUGCAUUUGAUAGGUUGGCUAUCUCUUAGUUGCUUGAAAGUAUUGGCUCUGGGGCUUUGAUUUGUUCUUCUUGAGCCAUAAUGUUUUGGUCUGUUCACGCUUGUUAUGUAGGAGGGGCGGAGCCUUAGAUGUUCACCAGGGUGAAGCGACCCAGUCUCUGGGUUGUGAUGCUGUAUAUGGGGGCGGGGUCAGAGAGGGGCAAUGGAGUUUGUUCUGCUCUCUCUCCCAUUUCGGUCCCCUCUGCUGCUUCCUGCUAGCAAAUUGGGCCCUUCUGAGGCUGGUUCCCGGGGGUCUGGGCUUGUGCACCCUCCAGGUCCCUGUGGGUCUCUCCAACGAACUCUCUGUGAGCCUGGGAGCCUCUCCUGGUACCUAGACCUCAAAAGUUUUUCCAAUUGGUGCUUUUAGGCUUUAAUUCCUGGCAAUGGGGCCCUGGUUUGCGUGGUCUGUCUCACUGCUCACUCCUCUGCCUGGUUUAUCUGUGUGUGAAUGUGUGACCUCGGUCAGCCAGCCACCCCACACCCUCACUGAGUCCACUCACUGGCACCCGUGCCUGGGAUCUGCCAACCGCUGCCUACGCGCCUAGGUCAGCUGGCCACCUUUUUCUGCGCGACCCCGCUCUGCCAACUGCUGAUGUCGCCCCUCUUAUCAGUCUGGAUGAAUGGUUCAUUGUCAGACUUCCGUACAGUUCAAUUUUCUGUGUUUUGGUUGCGUUUUUGUUACUAAAACUUUGUGGUCUUUAAACUUGGUGUGAGGAGGUGUAGUGUUUCCACCUAUGCCUCCAUCUUGGCCGGAACGGCUUGCUAGGAUUUAACCAACCAGGAGCAUUUCUGACAUUUGCUAAACCUGCCAAGGACACAAAGAAGAAAAAGAUGCAGCGAUGGUGUCUGCCAGUCUAUAGGCUGCAGCUUGAGGACACCUUGUCACAUAACCCCACACGCCCCACCUUCCCCAUCCAGCCCACCCGGCCUGUUGCUGGCUCAUGGAGGCAGCACAGAGAUGCUCCAAAACCAGCCUGUGCCCGGCCUCAGGAGAGCCUCACUGUUAAUCCUGGGGGUGGGGAGGCAUGGCUGCCUUUGUACCACUGCUAGAGGGUCUGGGUGUAGGAGGAGCAACUCCCGUGCCAGGGGUAGGGCUGAAGGGUGACCUGGCUUGUGGCCUAGAGAACACAGCGGACUCUUGGUAGCCCAACAAGGGCUCGCAGUCUGGAGGCAGGCCACAAAAUCCCAAGGAGCUCCUGAGGAUUGCAAAGUCUAUACGCCAAUGAAGGCCGCCUCGUCAUCUCUGCCGCUGCCAUCAAAGCUGAGCUGAGAUCAUUUCGUUUGCCACAUGCUGACACAGUGCUCUGCCCACUGGGCUUGGUCUUCUUUCCUUUCCUUUUAAAGGGAAGAACAGCGAUGGCCAGGGACUGGGCCUCCACAUGAGGCUGAGGGCUGGAUGAAGCCCAGUAACCAGUUAGAGAGGUUCAGGGGGCCUGCACCUUUCUCAACGGCCCGAGUUAAAGGCCAUUCUCCUGUGUCUGGGGUGCUCGCAGCCAACUCGGAAGUAAUUAAUUCCACAAGAAACAGUUCAGCAGGCCAGGAGCACGGUGGCACUAUUUCACACCUGCAGAGGCCAAGUGGAGUGUUUACAAACCAGCCUGAGCUCCACUGCCGGCAAAGGUCAGGUGCAGGUGUCAGGGGCCACAGGGCUGUUCUUUGGGAAGCCAGGGGGCAUCUGCCAAGUGCCAGGACCCAGACGCUACGAACAGGCCAGACACGCCCCUCUCCCGUGUGGGACUGACGUGCCAGAGAUAUGAGCACAGAAGAACCGGGGCUUGGAGAGAGAAUAACUUGGUGGGGUGGAAGGGGAGUCAGGAAGGCCUCUAUAAGGCCUGAGGGAUGAAAAGGAGACACCACACCAGGUACGGAAAGAAGGAUUAUCUGGGCAGAAAAACAGGGCCUGCAAAAGUGCCCAGUCUUCUGACCAGACUGGCCCGCUUCCCACGUGGUCCCCUAGGACUGCCCGUGUGUCAGUGCUGGGCCAGGCUCUCCCUGGAGGCCUCAUGCCCACCUCUCAUCGGGAUCCUGGGCAGCAUGAGUGCCAGGGCCAGGGGUUUAGAAAGGGAGGGGAACUGAGCAGGCUCCAGGGCUUUGUUUUUAACCUAGGACUUGCUUGGUAUUGAGCAAGGUAAGGUGUCGUCUGCACAUGAUGGAAGCCAGAGGCACAAGGAACACAGGAAAUCUCAGCCACACUACUGAGCUUUGGGGGAAGUAACUCCAACAUGGUGACAAGGGAGAUCAGAUACAGGGGGUGGAGAGGGCAGGACAAGGGAGUUAAGAGAAGGAAGAGGGAAUCUGGAAUUCCAGAGUUUUCAGAUCAGGACCACCAACAUCCAGGCCUACCCAAAGAAGCCUAGUAGGAGAUGGCACAGGGCAUUGGCUGGUACCCACCAGUACCGCUCCCUGUCCCCAAGGGGAAGGAGCACCUCCCCCAUCCCCACAAGAGCUCUUAGAGGUAGGCCAGGGCCUGCAGACCACAGACGGCAGGCUGAGGAGUCUGUAGGCUGCACACUUGGCCUCCCACAAAGGCUACCCAUGCCCAGGGGGUGGUGGAAAGCAAGUGCAGGAGCAGGGAGGAGGAUUCUGAGUGACACUGAGCAGGACUAGGGUUCAUCUGGCCUGAGCCCUCAGGGAACCAAGAGGAUCCAUGACCUGUGGUCUGACUUGUCCCAGGGCCCCUGGGCCACGGGGACUGGAGCUGGGAAGCAGCCGCACAGGCCUCCACUCAAUGACUUCUCCAGGAGAGGUCAGGCACAUCCUGGUGAGGUGCUGAGGGUCUGGCAGGCCAGACAGCCUCACUGCGAGUGCCCUGUGGGAAGCGGAGGACACCAGUGGCCCUUGGAAUGGGAAAUGCCCUGUGGAGUUGAGGAGGGCCUGGUCCAAGGCAAGCUUACUCAGGAUGAAGUCCAGGAAUGGCCACCUCAUGUCACCUGGCUAGGUGCUUUCUCCUUCCUUCAGAGCACAAGUCUAGAUCCCCUCAAGGGAAGUGCCAGAAGCUGCAGUGGAGUGGCCCACACUGCCCAUGCCUCUGCCCCAAUCUCACACACGGGUAAAGCUCCAGUCUGGUGGGAAGGUGUGCUUGGGACCCAGGUCUACUGGCCAGGAUGUGGAGGAAGCAGCCCCAUUUGCCGCUCUUCUUGGAACGGCAGGAUGUUGGAAUGGGUGGGGCUGUUAGACAGCAUCUCCCGCCUCAGUGUAUGGUCAGUCCCAGCCUGUCAGCCAGAAGGAGGGUGAGCUUAGUGGCUAGAAACACAGGCUAGGCUUUCCUACUUAGCUGUGUGGCUUCGGGCAAGCUGCUUAACCUCCUUCUGCCCUUGUGUGUGCAGUGAAGUGCUUUCCUUUAGGUGGUGAGGACUCAGACAGUCCCUGGGCAGGGGCUGCACGGUAGGUGCUCAGCUUUCCUGAGCCCCCCGCGUCUCCCCCAGCCCAGCCCUGCUGCUCUCUGGGCCGCUUCCCACAGGAGGCCCUGAGACGUCUCCCAAUAAGUCUGUGUUACCAAGGCUUGUCAAGGCAGGGCACUUGAACCUUGAUCUCUGUCCUCCCUGCAUGGUGACAAAACUUUGUGGUGUCAUAAGUAACUUGUGGUCACUAGGGUCACUCCUGGUGAAUCAGGCACACAGUCACGCUGUUUCAGGAAAGCAUGGCCGGAUUUUGCCUUCUGCCUCAUGCCAGUCUCUAGGCACUUCUGAAGGGCUGCUGCGGCCACGCUCUGGUUGGGGCCCUGGACGCCAUCAAGGGGACCUAUGCCACUCUCAGGGACUGCUCCAUGGGGCAAUCACCUCCAGAAGCAGAGUGUUGGGUGGUCCUUUCCUAGGGCCUGGGCUGGGUGGAGGGCCACGAACUGGCCAGGUCCUGAAUCUGUCACGACUCGCGGGGGGACUCAUUUGCACUGUGGAAAUAAGGGUGAACCCCAGGGCACAUGCGUAGGGCAAUCAGAGGAGGGAGAAUAACUUGUGGGGUAGCAACAGACAGACAAAGGAGGGCCACACUGGCACCCUCGGGACAGCUUUCUGGCAGCGAUUCUGUCAGUACUUGAGUGGGCUUUCGAGGGCCCUCAAAAUGGUGUGGAAUGGCAUGGCCGCUCUGGCGACCUUUGGGGCUGGGUUUGCAUCCGACUCUGACUCAUAUCGUCCAGCUGGGCCUGAGUCUGCACUUCUAAUGGGCUCUCAGGGGAUGCCCCUGCUGCCUGUCUGGGGGCCACACUGAGGAAUGGAAGCAGGGUCCUCUUGUCCUAUAGAGUGGCUCUGGUGGCCUGGGCCCUGCACCCUGUCGGUGGCAUGCAGGGCAGCAUGGAGAGCCCCCGGGCCUGGCCCUGCUCAGCCGUGGCUCAGGCCGUCUCUGCCUCCUCGCAGGUCUAGUCAGAGGGUUGGACCUGGUGUGGCUGCAACCCAGCCUUGGAAGCCCAAGAGGCGAUGUGAGUGCCAGAACUGGGAUGCUGUUGUGGCCAAAAGGGCCAGACUGGACUCUGUCCCAUCGGAACACAAGGACUCUGCCCUGUGCCUGGCUGUGUCCCUGAUUCUGGCAAAUGAGCCCUAGGAUAUGGGCACCCCCCCACCCGCAGCCCCACAGGCACCUGGAGCUGGUCAUUGGAGGCCAUGUUGGUGGGAGGUUAUAAGGCCGUCUGGGCCAUGGUGAGGUGAACAGCCCGCCUGGGGUCACCUGAGAAGUGUCUCUGUCCCUGCCAGGGUCCCUUGGCUAUGCCACCCUUCCACAGAAACAGUCCUCCUCUCCCGGAGAGCCUGUGAGGGAGCUCGUUGCCUCCUCCCAGGGCUUCCCUGGAGAGUAGCAAGGUUAGCUCUGCCAACCAGGCCAGUGUCUCAAGCCUGCCUCCUGGAAGGUGUCAGCUCUGUCCUGCCUCCCGGAGCUGGGGCUAGGCCCCUAAGGGUGAGAGCCCCCCUCCCCUGCUGCUGCUACAGCAGCUUGGCCCUCCCAGGGGCCCCUGUAGGCAUGCAGACAGCUCCUUUCCACAUGCCUGGCUGAGAGGAUAGCAGGCAGCCCCACACCCUGGAGCACUCAGAGGACUCUGCUGUCCCUGCUUCCCAGGCAAUAGAUAGCCUGGGUCAAGGUGGGGUGUGGUGCUGGGCGACAAAAGAGGUCUGAGACUGAGGGGCUCAUGCCCACCACUGCUGUCUUCUCCACCCCUGUGAGCCGCCCAGGGGCCCCCGCCCCCUCCUCCCUCUGCAGGACCCCCAUGGGUACUCUCUGUGCUCUCUGCUGCCUGCAGGCCCCUGCACUGGACUCCUCUGGGCUGCUCUUGAGUCUCAGCUCAGAUAGCUCUUUUCCAGGGAGGGAUGUAUGUGCCCCCCAGCCCCGCAGCUCUCUGUGGCCCAGCAUUCAGGUGCCUGUCCUCACCUGCUUAAACCAGCGACCCUUUCGGUUUGCAAACUGGCACUCAGUCCACUGAUCCACACCAGCCAGGGCUAAAUUAUGUGAAUUUUAUUUUUACCUUCAUAAAUCUGAUAAAAAAAUGUUUAAGUCUCCCCUUCUAAAACAAACCUUGUUUUCCAGAAAAAAAUGAAAAGAAAGAGCCAGCUGGCUGUAGGUGCUGUGAUGCCGUCGAUGUAGAUGUUGCAUCUUCUCACUUGGCCUUGCCUCUGGCCUGUUGCUCAUCGAGACCCUGUGUGUCCAGACAGCCCCUCAGGCUGAGUGCCGCACACUCUCCCGCUUUGUCUCUGCGGCUGGCUGAAGUCCAUGUACAUAAUGACCAAAGAAGGCAGACCAGGUUGGGCACUGUGUUUAGUUAAUAGUUGAAGAGCCACUUACUCUUUGUCUAUUUUUCCAGUGGCUUUGUACAAGUGGGCAUUGUUUCAUCUAAAAAAAAAAUUAAAAGAUCUUGAAAAGCUGCGUGCGAAUCAAGCAUUGUGGGUGCAGUAGGAAAAGCCCACAGACUGUGUCUAGAUGAAUCUCAGAGCAAACCCUUUGAUAAAGCAGUAACCUCUCUCAUCCCCUUUAGUGUGUUAAAUAAAACUUAAAAAGAGAUAAGCCACAUCUUCUUUAUCCAGUUGUCUACUGAUGGACACAUGGGCUGCUUCCACAGCUGGGCUAUUGUAAAUAAUCCUGCAGUGAACAUAGGGAUGCAUUUAUCUUUUCAAAUUAGUGUUUUGGGUUUCUUCAGGUAAAUACCCACAAGUGGAAUUGCUGGGUCAUAAGGUUGUUCUAUUUUUAAUUUUUUGAGGAACUUCCAUACUGUUUUUUAAUAAUGGAGGCACCAAUUUACAGUCUUACCAACCAUGUAGAGGGUUCCCUUUUCUCCACAUCUCCAAGUGGUACAUAUGUAUAAUGGAAUAUUACUCAACCAUAAAAAAUGAAACCUUAACCAUUUGCUAAGUGAAAUAAAUUACAGAAAGACGCAUACCUUGUGAUUCCACUCAUGUAGAAUCUGAAGAACAAACAAACACAACAGGAACAGGCUCACAGAUACAGAGAACAGACUGAUGGGUGCC